rnacentral:lncRNA from 1 species
GAGAGUGUCAGCUUAAUUAAUACUACUUUAAUAAGAUACUUCUUAAGAAAACCCUCCAAUUUCCGUAAAAAAAAAAGAGAUAUAUUGAAGGCUAAUCUAAUGCAUUCAGUUUAUUUUGGUCUGAUACGAACAAGCAAAAAAAAAAAAAACACUCAAAUAAUUUUGAGUUCUCUAAUAAUUUUUAGGUAAAAAAAUUAUUCU